rnacentral:lncRNA from 1 species
GAGACAAAAUUUUAGAAAUUGGCAAGUAUGAAGAAGAGCUCUCAGGGAUUCAGUGUAGAUGUAAGAAUAUGGCCAAGAGAUCCUCGCACCAAGCCCGAGCUCUCCACCACGGGAAGCUGGGGAGGAGCAAGCAAGAGAGGAUGAGGUGGCAAGAUCUCCACACUAAUUUCUCCCUCAGGUGUGUGGGGCCUUCUUGGAAGCCAAAUGAAGAAAAUCUUUCAAGAGAAGAAAGUGGUCAAACCAUGCCAAGUAAAUGUUCCUCUACCAGGAAAAAAAAUCUAAAUAUUACCCCAUCCCCAUUUUCCAACACUAUAAAUUGUGAGGCCAUCACAAAACUUGGUCCACUCAUCACUGCCGUAUCUCUUCAGUCUCUCCAGGAGGAAAUACGACAUCCACGGAAGCCUCUGCCACAUCCAAAGAAGGAAUUAAUCCAUCAGUACUCAUUGAGUGUCUACUAUAGUCACAGCACUCUGCUCCUGGUUGAAAAUAUACAAGAGAAAGGUAAGACAAAGCCCUUUGUCUCAUGGAAUUUAUAGCACAGGUGAGGAGCCUGGGGUUGUAAACGCACAGUUAGAGUGGGGAGUGGGAAUGCUCUCGGUGUUUGAAGGAGGAAACCAUUCAUAUUAAAAGCUCCUCUUACUGCCCUCCAGCCUGAAAUGCCUCCCUUUUGCUGUGGUUCACAUACGUGUGGGGAACGGGGGUCACAAGGAAGUUGGGGAUCAGGCAAGAGGAUGGGAGUGAAUCAGCUUAUGACCGUGACGAUCUCUGAGAAAGUGGCCCCAAAGCACACUGGCCACCCGCUAACAGGAGGAGAAUUUUCCUAGGUGCUCACCCACCUGAUUCAGCAUCCGCUAGGGCUGGUGGUGGAAGUGCAAUUAGGGCCAACAUGGAGCUGAGAUAUCUUGGCGUCUCUUCCCAUUCAUUAGCUCCCAGCUGUUCUUUCCCCAGAACUAACCAGAUAAAAGAGUUUUUGCACUUGAGAUGUGGAGGCUUUGGAAAAAUCAAUUUCCACACCAAUUUCUCCCUCAGUUCUGAUACAGUAACCCAAAAUACUUCUCAAUUCUGCAUACUGAAGCAUUAUAGCGGGAAGUUCCUGAAUUUCUGCAUAAUAUAACCAAAUCCUCAUAUCAUAUUGGGCAGAGCCGUGGUGCUCAUAGGGAUGCUCUGUAGAAGGGCAGAUGAGCCACAAAGGACAAUCAGGCAUUUGAGUAUUUGAGCCUAAUUUCUAGAGUGUGGCCUGGCCAGCACUGAAGUGGCAGAGUGCUGGGCAUGUGUGCGUAGAACAUGUUUCAAGUUAUUGUACAAAGUACAUACCUUUUUCUAUAAACAUUUCAGGCAAUUUUUAAGAUAAAAGUGUACGACUUGAGUAGAGAAGGGAUAAGAGGACUACAUUUUCUUUUUGUAAUAAUUCCUGAAGUAUCAUUCCAUUGAAACUCAGGAUCCCUGAAAGAAGAUAGAAGGACAAAGUAUUUCAAAAAACUGUCUCCUUCCUCUCCCUCCUGUAAUCUUCUUUUUCAAGUCAGUUUGCUUUAGCAACAGAAGGAUAUUUCAAUUAUCUGUUCCGUCAACACCUCACCAAAGCCAAAGGAAAUGGGAUGGCUUUGCUUCGGUGCAAACAAAUAUGGGAGUAGAUUAUUUUCAAACAGCAAAGGAUCGUUGAGUUAGAAAUUACCUGUAAAGUCUAGAAGGCGUGUAAGGCAUUAUCAGGAAAAUUACUUAAGUCUCUUUUCUUUAACAAACAAUAAGAAGAAGACCUGUAUUUUUAUUUUGCACAGUGUGGAGCUGUCCCGUUCUCUUUAAGCCUAGUUCUAAAUUGGAAAAUUCAGAAAAAUAAAUUACAAAUACAAAGGAUCA